AUUGAACGCUGGCGGCAUGCCUUACACAUGCAAGUCGAACGGCAGCGGGGGAGAAGCUUGCUUUUCCUGCCGGCGAGUGGCGAACGGGUGAGUAAUACAUCGGAACGUGCCCUGUAGUGGGGGAUAACUAGUCGAAAGAUUAGCUAAUACCGCAUACGACCUGAGGGUGAAAGUGGGGGACCGCAAGGCCUCAUGCUAUAGGAGCGGCCGAUGUCUGAUUAGCUAGUUGGUGGGGUAAAGGCCUACCAAGGCGACGAUCAGUAGCUGGUCUGAGAGGACGAUCAGCCACAGUGGGACUGAGACACGGCCCAGACUCCUACGGGAGGCAGCAGUGGGGAAUUUUGGACAAUGGGCGAAAGCCUGAUCCAGCAAUGCCGCGUGUGUGAAGAAGGCCUUCGGGUUGUAAAGCACUUUUGUCCGGAAAGAAAUGGCUCUGGUUAAUACCUGGGGUCGAUGGCGGUACCGGAAGAAUAAGGACCGGCUAACUACGUGCCAGCAGCCGCGGUAAGAC
rnacentral:rRNA from 1 species